UACGUAGGGUGCGAGCGUUGUCCGGAAUUAUUGGGCGUAAAGAGCUUGUAGGCGGUUUGUCGCGUCUGCGGUGAAAUUUCGGGGCUUAACCCCGGACGUGCCGUGGGUACGGGCAGGCUAGAGUGUGGUAGGGGAGACUGGAAUUCCUGGUGUAGCGGUGAAAUGCGCAGAUAUCAGGAGGAACACCGAUGGCGAAGGCAGGUCUCUGGGCCAUAACUGACGCUGAGAAGCGAAAGCAUGGGGAGCGAACAGG
rnacentral:rRNA from 1 species